GAGGGAGAGGGAGAGAUCAGGCAAAUUAAACCAGAUAAACAGGUUGCGACAGAUGCUGGAAUCUCGAGCAAUAAACAAAGUGCUGGAGGAACUCGGUCUGUAGAAGGAUCGUCUGUCCUUCUCCUCCACGGAUGCUGCCUGACCCGCUGAGUUCCUCUAGCACUUGGUUUCAGGACAAGUUACCCUGCAGGUUUGCACCAGGAGGCGUGAUUGUCGGGAAGUCCCUGUUCAAGUCUGUCAUGGUGGAGCCAGGACCGAUGGUGUUCUUCAACCUUGGGCUGAGCAGUGAGUGCGCUACACCAGUGCAGCUUCACUCCCACCACAAGGACAUCACUGGUCAGGUCAGCAGUUAUUGCCCACCCCUCUUUGCCCUCAAGAAAGGUAUGCUUCUUGAACCGCUGCAGGCUCAGUAUGUAUGGGAUGGGGACUCUGCACACAGUCCACAGUUGAUUACUGUGCUUGCUUUCCAGGACGGAGAGGUCCAGAAUCAUGUUUCAGAAGCUGGUUGGAAUCGGGAAACAAUUGAUCUCAUUUCUGUUACUUUUGUAGUGUUGUCGUGUGAAUUGUUAAUAUUUCCAAGUGUGUCUGUAUUUAAUCAGUGUGCUGUGAAUAAUAUGCAUUCCGCAAACCCUGUGUUUUUAUGUACUGGACAUUGGCUGUUAGAAUAAAGGAUUUUUUAAAUGGAAA